rnacentral:rRNA from 1 species
UCCUACGGGGCGCAGCAGUAGGGAAUCUUCCACAAUGGGCGAAAGCCUGAUGGAGCAACGCCGCGUGGGUGAAGAAGGUCUUCGGAUCGUAAAACCCUGUUGUUAGAGAAGAAAGUGCGUGAGAGUAACUGUUCACGUUUCGACGGUAUCUAACCAGAAAGCCACGGCUAACUACGUGCCAGCAGCCGCGGUAAUACGUAGGUGGCAAGCGUUAUCCGGAUUUAUUGGGCGUAAAGGGAACGCAGGCGGUCUUUUAAUUCUGAUUUGAAAGCCUUCGGCUUAACCGGAUUAGUGCAUUUGCAACU